AGUGAGGAAUAUUGGACAAUGGGCGAAAGCCUGAUCCAGCCAUGCCGCGUGUGUGAAGAAGGCUUUCGGGUUGUAAAGCACUUUCAGUGGGGAAGAAAUCCUCGGGGCCAAUACCCUCGAGGGAGGACAUCACCCACAGAAGAAGCACCGGCUAACUCCGUGCCAGCAGCCGCGGUAAUACGGAGGGUGCGAGCGUUAAUCGGAAUUACUGGGCGUAAAGCGCGCGUAGGUGGUUCGAUAAGCGGGAUGUGAAAGCCCCGGGCUUAACCUGGGAACGGCAUUCCGAACUGUCGGGCUAGAGUAUGGUAGAGGGUAGUGGAAUUUCCUGUGUAGCGGUGAAAUGCGUAGAUAUAGGAAGGAACACCAGUGGCGAAGGCGGCUACCUGGACCAAUACUGACACUGAGGUGCGAAAGCGUGGGGAGCGAACAGGAUUAGAUACCCUGGUAGUCCACGCCGUAAACGCUGGGUACUAGGUGUUGCGGGUAUUGACCCCUGCAGUGCCGAAGCUAACGCAUUAAGUACCCCGCCUGGGGAGUACGGUCGCAAGACUA
rnacentral:rRNA from 1 species